rnacentral:rRNA from 1 species
CGAAAGCCUGACGGAGCAACGCCGCGUGAGGGAGGAAGGCUUAGGGUUGUAAACCUCUUUUCUCUGGGAAGAAGAUCUGACGGUACCAGAGGAAUAAGCCUCGGCUAACUCCGUGCCAGCAGCCGCGGUAAGACGGAGGAGGCGAGCGUUAUCCGGAAUUAUUGGGCGUAAAGCGUCCGCAGGCGGUUUUUCAAGUCUGCUGUCAAAGACUACAGCUCAACUGUGGGCAGGCAGUGGAAACUGAGGGACUAGAGAGCGGUAGGGGUAGAGGGAAUUCCCGGUGUAGCGGUGAAAUGCGUAGAAACCGGGAAGAACACCAGCGGCGAAGGCGCUCUACUGGGCCGUUACUGACGCUGAGGGACGAAAGCUAGGGGAGCG